AACUAGUUAGUUUAAAAAAAAACGUUAAACUGCAAAUUUAAAAUUAAUUAUAUUAGUUA
rnacentral:tRNA from 1 species